UUCAGCCUACGGGACGCAGCAGUGGGGAAUAUUGCACAAUGGGGGAAACCCUGAUGCAGCGACGCCGCGUGAGUGAAGAAGUAAUUCGUUAUGUAAAGCUCUAUCAGCAGGGAAGAAAAUGACGGUACCUGAGUAAGAAGCCCCGGCUAACUACGUGCCAGCAGCCGCGGUAAUACGUAGGGGGCAAGCGUUAUCCGGAUUUACUGGGUGUAAAGGGAGCGUAGACGGCGGCGCAAGUCUGGAGUGAAAUCCCGGGGCUCAACCCCGGAACUGCUUUGGAAACUGCGCGGCUCGAGUGCAGGAGG
rnacentral:rRNA from 1 species